CACGUAGGGCGCAAGCGUUGUCCGGAAUUAUUGGGCGUAAAGAGCUCGUAGGCGGUUCGUCACGUCGGCUGUGAAAACCUGAGGCUCAACCUCAGGCCUGCAGUCGAUACGGGCGGACUUGAGUACUGCAGGGGAGACUGGAAUUCCUGGUGUAGCGGUGAAAUGCGCAGAUAUCAGGAGGAACACCGGUGGCGAAGGCGGGUCUCUGGGCCGAUACUGACGCUGAGGAGCGAAAGCGUGGGGAGCGAACAGG
rnacentral:rRNA from 1 species